CAGUCGAACGAAGCACUUAAGACAGAUUACUUCGGUUUGAAGUCUUUUAUGACUGAGUGGCGGACGGGUGAGUAACGCGUGGGUAACCUGCCUCAUACAGGGGGAUAGCAGCUGGAAACGGCUGGUAAUACCGCAUAAGCGCACGGUAUCGCAUGAUACAGUGUGAAAAACUCCGGUGGUAUGAGAUGGACCCGCGUCUGAUUAGCUGGUUGGUGAGGUAACGGCCCACCAAGGCGACGAUCAGUAGCCGACCUGAGAGGGUGACCGGCCACAUUGGGACUGAGACACGGCCCAGACUCCUACGGGAGGCAGCAGUGGGGAAUAUUGCACAAUGGAGGAAACUCUGAUGCAGCGACGCUGCGUGAGUGAAGAAGUAGUUCGCUAUGUAAAGCUCUAUCAGCAGGGAAGAUAGUGACGGUACCUGACUAAGAAGCUCCGGCUAAAUACGUGCCAGCAGCCGCGGUAAUACGUAUGGAGCAAGCGUUAUCCGGAUUUACUGGGUGUAAAGGGAGUGUAGGUGGCCAGGCAAGUCAGAAGUGAAAGCCCGGGGCUCAACCCCGGGACUGCUUUUGAAACUGCAGGGCUAGAGUGCAGGAGGGGCAAGUGGAAUUCCUAGUGUAGCGGUGAAAUGCGUAGAUAUUAGGAGGAACACC
rnacentral:rRNA from 1 species